UACAUCGGAACGUGUCCUGUUGUGGGGGAUAACCCACCGAAAGGUGAGCUAAUACCGCAUGAUCUGGAGACAGCAAAGCAGGGGACCCGCAAGGGCCUUGCGCGAUUGGAGCGGCCGAUGUCCGAUUAGCUAGUUGGCGGGGUAAAGGCCCACCAAGGCGACGAUCGGUAGCUGGUCUGAGAGGAUGAUCAGCCACACUGGGACUGAGACACGGCCCAGACUCCUACGGGAGGCAGCAGUGGGGAAUUUUGGACAAUGGGGGCAACCCUGAUCCAGCCAUGCCGCGUGAGUGAAGAAGGC
rnacentral:rRNA from 1 species